AGUGAACGCUGGCGGUAUGCCUAACACAUGCAAGUCGAACGGCAGCACAGUAAGUGCUUGCUCUUACGGGUGGCGAGUGGCGUACGGGUGAGGAAUACAUCGGAAUCUACUUUUUCGUGUGGGAUAACGUAGGGAAACUUACGCCAAUACCGCAUACGACCUACGGGUGAAAGCAUGUGAUCUUCGGACCUGGUUCGAUUGAAUGAGCCGAUGUCGUUUUAGCUAGUUGGCGGGGUAAAGGCCCACCAGGGCGGCGAUCCGUAGCUGGUCUGAGAGGAUGAUCAGCCGCCCUGGAGCUGAAACAGGGUCACGACGCCUACGAGAGGGAGCAGUGGGGAAUAUUAGACAAUAGGCGGAAGCCUGAUCCAGCCGUACCGAGUGGGUGGAGGAGGCGUUCGGGUUGUGAAGACCUUUUGUUGGGAGAGAAAAGCAGCAGGUUGAUACCAAGCUGUUCUGACGGUACCCGAAGAAUAAGCACCGGCUAACUUCGUG
rnacentral:rRNA from 1 species